CCCGAGCCGCGCGUCAUGGCCGUCUCGGUGCCCGGCUACUCGCCCGGUUUCAGGAAGCCUCCCGCUACGCUGCGGCUCCGACGGAAGAGGGCCCGCAGCCACGGCUCCGCCGCCGCGCCCGGGGAGCAGCCCGAGCCUGCGCCCCGCCGCGCCGCUCUGGCGGCCGGGCUGCUCCUGCGCCCCUUCCCGGCGGCGGGCGGCGGUGGCGGUGGCGGCGGCGGCCCGGCAGCGGCCCGCAGGAACCCCUUCGCCCGCCUGGACAACCGGCCGCCGGCCUCCGCGGAGCCCCCCGACGGGCCGCCCGGCGGUCGGCAGGAGGCGCAGGCCGCGUUUGUAGAUUCUAAUCAAGAAAAUGAUUCGCUGUGGGAGGAGAAGUUUCCUGAAAGAACAGACGUUACUGAAUUACUGCAGACUCCACAAGUAUCAUUCUCCGAAUCUGAUACUCCAUCCUCAGAAAGUACUGAGUUACCUGUGGACUGGAGUAUUAAAACUCGACUCCUUUUCACCUCUUCUCAACCCUUUACCUGGGCAGAUCACUUGAAAGCACAAGAAGAGGCCCAAGGUGUCAUCCAGCAUUGUAGGGCAACAGAAGUUACUUUGCCUCAAAGUAUACAGGAUCCCAGACUCUCCACUCAGCUCCGUUGUGCCUUUCAGCAGAGCCUAAUCUAUUGGUUGCACCCUGCCUUUCCCUGGCUACCACUGUUCCCUCGCAUUGGAGCUGAUAGAAAAAUGGCUGGAAAGAUAAGCCCUUGGUCAAAUGAUGAAACCUUGCAACACAUUUUAAUGAGUGACUGGUCUGUGAGCUUCACUUCUCUCUAUAAUCUACUGAAGACAAAGCUUUGCCCAUAUUUCUACGUUUGUACCUAUCAGUUUACGAUCUUGUUCCGAGCAGCAGGAUUAGCAGGAAAUGAUGUAAUCACAGCUCUCAUCUCUCCUACAACUAGAGGCAUAAGAGAAGCUAUGAAAAAUGAAGGUAUUGAAUUUUCUCUGCCGCUAAUAAAAGAAAAUGGCCAUGAGAAGAAAAAGGCAUCUGGAACAAGCCUGGGACAUGGGGAGGAACAAGUAAUCAGUGAUGAGGAUGAAGAUGAGAGCUUUUCCUGGCUGGAAGAGAUGGGUGUGCAAGAUAAAAUUAAAAAACCAGACAUACUCUCUAUCAAGCUACGAAAAGAGAAACACGAAGUGCAAAUGGAUCACAGACCUGAGUCUGUUGUGUUGGUGAAGGGAAUGAAUACCCUUACAUUGCUGAAUUUCUUGAUCAACUCUAAGAGUUUAAUUGCUAGUUCAGGUCCGCAGGCAGGACUUCCACCAACCCUCUUAUCACCUGUAGCUUUCCGAGGUGCCACAAUGCAAAUGCUAAAGGCAAGAAGUGUAAAUGUGAAGACACAAGCUGUUUCUGGAUACAAAGAUCAAUUUAGUUUGGAGAUUACGGGUCCUAUCAUGCCUCAUUCUCUACAUUCAGUAACCAUGCUACUCAGAUCUUCACAGAAUGGGUCAUUUUCUGCUGGACUAUAUACACAUGAGCCAACUGCUGUAUUUAAUAUCUGCCUGCCAGUGAAUAAAGUAUUGGAUAAGGAAACUGUUCUUGAGGAGCUUGCUAACUGUGGAUUGCACCCUAAGACCCUGGAUCAACUUAGUCAAACACCAAUACUGGGAAAAUCAUCUUUAAGACAUGUGGAAAUGAAUGACUACGUUUAUAAUUGGAGAUCCUGAACACCAAAUGCCAACAAAAUACGAAUUCAAGUGGGGGAUAGGACAAGAAGAAAUUCAAAUGUACUCUCACCUGACAGAUCUUUCAUUGCAGCAGAGAAGUUCCCGGACCUCUUUUGUGCUCUUUCUCCUACUGCAACAAGACCUUUAAAAUAAAAAGGCAGUGUUCACUGAAUAAACUCCAAAGCAUCAUUUUAAAUUAUUAUAUACAAUGAUUCCCUCUGUAGGACCCUAAAUCUCAACCUAUGCCUUCCAAUAAAAUACUCAACCCCCACUACCUUUGAUUUUUAUAUAGUUUACCUUGUUUUGCUGUUUCAAUGUAUAUAAGUUAUACUUUAUGUUCAUAUAACUUGGUAAUAGAAAUUGCUUAAGAACAAAUAUUCACAGAACACAAAAACCUAGUAGCAUAUGAAUACACCUAUUAAGUGCCAAAGAUAACACCUUUAGGAUUGUUUCUUUUUAAUAAGUUUAAAAUACAGUGGCUAUUUAUUUCAAAUGCUUUCUAAAGGCUUCCCAUUCCUUAAAGCACCCUGCUGUUAAUUAAGUUCCCCAAAAGGUGAGGAUUUUAGGCCACACACCCUCCAAACAAAGAAGUGUCACUAUAAACGGGUCCAUAUUUUCCCCAGCAAACAGCCCCUGACUUAUCAAAUGAAGAUGUUCAUAGAAGACAAUCUCACUGCAUAACCUCCCUUUCCAAUGGGAUUUCACUGUCUCAUUAGCCAAAGUCCAUGCUUUCCUGCUUCCAUUUCUCCUAGGGGGAAUUCUUCAAUCAGCUCUUCACUAAAUCUGCUAGUACUCUUCUCCAAACCCAACACCUAUUACACAAUUCCAACGAGGAUGUUCCUGGAAUUAUGUAAUGCAUUCACAGAUGUUUUCUUAUAAACAAAUCACCUUGUAUGACUCAAAAAAAUCUAUUCAACUUGUAUAUGUAAUACAAUGUCAAAUAUGACAUAAUCCGUACAAUGUCCUUUUCUAAUUCAGUUUGAAUUAAUGCUACAGCAGCACAGAACGAUUCUCAUGCUAUUUCCAACCUACUUGAGAAUCCUUACAAUAAAUCCCUCUAAUUUUAAAAAAAAGAGGUAUCACAGUAUUCUAUGUGGAUGACAAUGUAGAAAUUCUGAUGCAAAAUGCUUGCUUUAUGACACACACAAUUUGGUCCAAGCUAGUUGGUUUCCAAAUUCACUGACACAGAAUAAUUUAACUGCAUUAACUUCAACUUAUCUUUCUGAUUGAAAAGAUAAGGAAAAUUCUAGGUUUAAGCUUUCUAGUCUUUAAAAAUCAGGCUUAUACAAUCUAUUGAAAUCACACUGAGAUGACAGCCCCAUUUAAUUCUACAUAAGACAUUAUUCCAAGGGAAGAAAUUAUUUAAGAGGUACCAACUGGCUGUUAUCAAUGAGCACUAAGUGUCUGUGUGUGUGCAUAUAUACAUAUAUAUACAUGUUUGUUUGCUUUUUUUUUUUUUUACACAAGUGGAGGGAGGGCCCAGAGAGACAGAAUCCCAAGAGAUUCUCUUUCCCGUACACCCCACACACAGAGGCCAAUGUAGGGCUCGACCUCACGACUCUGAGAUCAUGACCUGAGCCAAAAUCAAGAGUUGGACACUUAACUGAGCUAUCCAGACACCCCGCUAAGUAUAUUUUUAAUACUUAGCAACUGCAUGGGGGCAAUGCAGAAGGAUUUCCAGGAGUGGCAAAGUACUAGUAAGAUAAAAGUUCCAAGGUGCCGCCCUGAGCACAAGACAAUAUGACAAGCUGACACUGCUGUCAGCAACUGGCCUAUUCUCCAGCCCCAACCCAAGAAAAUUCAAUGACAGAGCUUAAAAAGAGGGAGAUACCAAAACUGUUUAUAGGAGAAGACAAAACAACACUCUAAUAGGAAAUAAGGAGAAUAGAAUACGUGGUAUAAAAUAAGAAGGAAAAAAAAAUACAGCCUAGAAAUGACAAGUAUGUUACCUGUCACAAGAAAACAAAACGGGGAUACCAUUUACCAAAACUGUAAUCUAACUGAAAUUUCAAUCCCACUGAUAUAUGCACAUUUCCAUAAUAUUUAGCAACUAACGUUAAGACCACCUUUUAGCUCAAAUUAGUGACUCCCAUCUGUAUCUAUACAAGCUGCCACAAAUGGAUGAGCGCCUUUUGUUUCUUAAUAGCUGUAGAUAUGCUCCAGUUAAGCAUCAGGGACAUCAAAAUGUAGAAAGGUUACUUUGGGGGAAAAUAUUUUUUUUCAAGGGGCACUUGGGUGGCUCUGAUGGUAUAGCGUGUGACUCAUGAUCUUAGGGUCAUGAGAUCAAGCCCACAUUGGGCAGAGCUUGCUUUAAAAAAAACUACGAAGGUAAUGAAACCCUAAAUAUUAAGGAGAGAUAAUCAACAUUCCCAAAACAAUGGGUUACCUUUUCGGUCUGUCUUAAAAUCAACCAGGAUAGGUUCCUUAUUUCCUUCUUUGUUUUUUCCUAAUCCUUCUCCUUCUCUCCAGCCCAUUUUUCUCAUCAAAACGGCUCCCAUUCCUCCAGUUACCGGGGCUGCUCUUAAGAACUGAUCCUAUCCAAAGAAAGAAAGCUUUGUAAAUUAUAUGCUGGGGAGAAAGCAUGCCAAUGAUGUGUGACUAGACAUUAAGUUCAACAAGGUGCUCUGAUGGAAGGAGGCAGCUGUGGAGGUAAAAACAUACCCCUGGUUCAGUUCCUUAUUUGGUGCAGGCCAUGCAGUGUUGAUGUAUAAAGAGAAAAGUUAGCUGAUGCUUGGGUAUCAACUGCCUUGUUGCUACACACCUAGAAUGACUUUUACUUACUUCCAGGUUCAUCCGCCCCUCUUUUCCAGGCAACACUCCUAAAAAAAAGGGCAACUGUGCAAAGUAUAAUGCAAAUCCCCAAAUAACCCAGGCUUCCAACUCGGUUUCCAAUCUCUACUAUGUUCAUGUUUCUUUACCCCAGUGUGUAUACAGUUCACCAAAAAGCUGCUUAAUCUAAUGAACCUAUAAUAGUAAACAAUACCCUUCGGGUCAUGUCCAAAUCAUUUAAUUCCAGAAAAUAAAGGUUUUUUUAAAUCAA